rnacentral:sRNA from 1 species
ACUCCAGUCCGUGCAGUCCAGCGGAGUGGACGUGUGUCUGUUAAGAGGCACGUGGUAGUCUCCAAGAUUGGGAAACUUCUACCUACUAUGUUAAUUUCUGUGUUUGUCACCAAUUUCAAGGGGAUGGCGAUUUAUACCAGCUGAAUUAUGACAACAACGUCGGAGACGACUACGGAGCGCCAGACCCGCAAUUUUUCAUCCAUUUCGGGGACGCGUGGCGUCGAUGUAUGGUGACCGGGAGCGGUCUACGCUGGAGACGUUUGUAUAUGUGUGUUGUUUUGUGGUGUCCUAACUGUCUACGUACCGGAACAACGGUUGUCUGAUCUGUCCGUGUGUCUGUCUAAGUGAUGUCCGGGGUUUGGGUGUAAAGUCACCGAAAAUAUACCGAGGAGCCAGGAAAACGGAAAAGUGACAACAUUUAUUGAAAUUUCACUUUCAUUGUUUUGAAUAGUUGGUUGUCAUAUAAGUGUAGUGAUAUUUUUGUGAAAUUGAUUUGAAAGUUGAUAAACGAGUUUAAAGAAAUUAUUUGAAAAUCUAAAUGUAUUUGAAUCAAUUUAAGUGUUUAAAUUUUGGAUAGAAUAUUUUGUCUUGAAGUCAAUUUAAAGAUUUGUUGUUAAAAUUAGAGUCGGCUCUCUCUUUUAGAAUGUGGUUUAAUAUUUCUUUCAUUUUUUUUUCUUUUAUAUAUUUUUUUCUCAUUAAAUAUUUGUUUGUUU